rnacentral:rRNA from 1 species
AGCGCAGGUGGUUGUAUAAGUCUGAAGUAAAAGGCAGUGGCUCAACCAUUGUGUGCUUUGGAAACUGUACAACUUGAGUGCAGAAGGGGAGAGUGGAAUUCCAUGUGUAGCGGUGAAAUGCGUAGAUAUAUGGAGGAACACCAGUGGCGAAGGCGACUCUCUGGACUGUAACUGACGCUGAGGCUCGAAAGCGUGGGAGCAAACA